CGGAUCGGAGUCUGCAACCCGACUCCGUGAAGCUGGAUUCGCUAGUAAUCGCGCAUCAGCCAUGGCGCGGUGAAUACGUUCCCGGGCCUUGUACACACCGCCCGUCAAGCCAUGGGAGCCGGGGGUGCUUGAAGUGCGUCGCCGCGAGGCGCGCCCUAGAGCAAAACCGGUGACUGGGGCUAAGUCGUAACAAGGUAGC
rnacentral:rRNA from 1 species